GGCGGGGCUUGGGGAGCCUGCACAGCCCGCAGUCUGCUGCCGGCCGCCAGCUGCAGCGCAGGGCUGCGGAGGCAGAGUGCGGCCCUCGCCCGGCCUCCGGGCCGCCCGCGCGCCGGAGCCGGGACCUGCGACUGGACGCGACGGGCCGCCGCGGGCCCGCACCGCCCGGCCGCCAAGAUGUGCGACUGCUUCCACGUGAUGCUGCCCACCUGGCCCGGAGCCCCCGGCAGCGGUGGAGUUUUGUUGGGUCACAGUCGUGCUCGUUCAUUUGCAUGUUGUCUGCAACCGCUGCUGAGCGACAACCGUGGACCUGCGAGGAAGACCACACGGCCUGCAAAGCCUGAAAUGCGUGCUGUCUGACCUGUCACGAGAGAAGUCUGCAAACCCCUGCUUUAUACGGUCAUAUCUUUUAAAGCAGUUAAAAGAUGGAAUGAGGUAUAUUUAUAGAUAUCUCAUUGGAAAGAUGUGUUUGCUGCGUCUUUUAUAUUUGCCCACAUAGUGACCCUUUUCUGCAUUCUUCGUUUCUUUCUGUGGAAACGGGCUAGUACCUAAUACCGGUUCCUUUAGCAUUUCUUCUAGGAAGACUGGCAGUGAAUUCUCUGUCUUUGUUCUUUUGCAGAUGUCUUUGUUUUGCCUUUAUGUUUGAAGGGUACUUUACUAGAUGUGCAAUUCGUGUUUGACAACAUUUCUCUCUCACGAUUUGAGUCUGUCGUUCCACUUUUUCCCAGCUUCCAUGGUCUUGGGUAGUAAUUG
ensembl:lncRNA